AGAGUUUGAUCCUGGCUCAGGACGAACGCUGGCGGCGUGCCUAAUACAUGCAAGUCGAGCGGACGAAUCGAAAGCUUGCUUUUGAUUCGUUAGCGGCGGACGGGUGAGUAACACGUGGGCAACCUGCCCUGUAGACGGGGAUAACACCGAGAAAUCGGUGCUAAUACCGGAUAACACGAAAUGUCGCAUGACGUUUCGUUGAAAGACGGCGCAAGCUGUCGCUACAGGAUGGGCCCGCGGCGCAUUAGCUAGUUGGUGAGGUAACGGCUCACCAAGGCGACGAUGCGUAGCCGACCUGAGAGGGUGAUCGGCCACACUGGGACUGAGACACGGCCCAGACUCCUACGGGAGGCAGCAGUAGGGAAUCUUCCGCAAUGGACGAAAGUCCGACGGAGCAACCCCGCGUGAGCGAAGAAGGCCUUCGGGUCGUAAAGCUCUGUUGUUAGGGAAGAACAAGUAACGCAGUAACUGGCGUUACCGUGACGGUACCUAACGAGAAAGCCACGGCUAACUACGUGCCAGCAGCCGCGGU
rnacentral:rRNA from 1 species